CCCAUGACAUCUUGGAGCUGAGGUGAAGGAAUCUUACAAGGAAUCUUGGUGUAAAAGACCCCCUUCCCAUUUCUUACUUAUUUCAAAUCAGUUAGAACCAAAUCCAACUGGUUGUAUGGUCCAGUUGUAACAUCCACUCGACACGAAUGUGCAAAGGACCCCAGAGUCAAGCCAGAGAAAGGACUGGAAGAGCUUGAAGGGGCUCGAGAUCCCAUAUGAACAACAACGCCAAGCAACCAGAGCUUCCAGGGACUAAGCCACUACCUAAAGACUAUACAUGGACUGACCCUGGGCUCCAACCUCAUAGGUAGCAAUGAAUAUCCUAGUAAGGGCACCAGUGGAAGGGGAAGCCCUGGGUCCUGCCAAGACUGAACCCCCAGUGAACGUGAUUGUUGGGGGGAGGGCGGUAAUGGGGGGAGGAUGGGGAGGGGUUAGGGGGAUGUUGGCCCGGAAACCGGGAAGGGGAAUAACAAUCGAAAUGUAAAUAAGAAAUACUCAAGUUAAUAAAGAUAAAAAAAAAGAAAAAAAA
rnacentral:lncRNA from 1 species